rnacentral:lncRNA from 1 species
UCCUUUUUACUCUCACACACUCUUUUUGGUGUCUUAUAUUUUUUUCGCUUCUUCUUUUACUCUGUCUAUCUCAUGUUAUACGAAGAAUUACUUUCCGUACACCUGCCAACAAGCCGUACGGACAGUCAGUGGCAACAGUAUUAGCUAUUAUACAGCAUUGGUACCCUUUAACUUUCAUAGCUAUCAAUGCAUUCUUCAAUCGAACUAUCAUUUACGUCAUGAUAGAAGUCUGAGAAGAGUUUUUCGAAACUGUCGACAAACGAUGCUUCGACUGUGGAUCUCCGACGUCUCUUGUACAGCCAUACUGCGAUUACAAGGUGACAGGUAAACACAAAAACUUAUUGUUGAGACAAAACAUCAUUUAUUUAUACAAAACGAUUGCUUUUUAUAUUGAACAUUUUCUUCUUUUUUUCCUUUCUUUUGUUCUGUUGUGAUAUAUCGCAUAAUGAAAGCAAACAUUUCCAAUAUAUGCUUCUAUGAGCAUAUAGUUCUGUAGGCAUUAAAUAUAUUCUACGUAUAUAUAUAUAUAUAUAUAUAUAUAUAUAUAUAUAUAUAUAUAUAUAUAUAUAUAUAUAUAUAUAUAUAUAUAUAUGUAUAUAUGUAUAUAUGUAUAUAUAUGCAUAUAUAUAUGUAUAUACAUAUAUAUAUGUAUAUGUAUAUAUAUAUAUACAUACAUACUAUAUAUAUAUAUAUGUAUAUAUAUAUAUAUAUAUAUAUGUAUAUAUGUAUGCAUGUAUAUAUAAAUAUAUAUAUAUACAUAUAUAUAUAUGUAUGUAUAUAUAUAUAUAUAUAUAUAUAUAUAUAUAUAUAUAUGAGUAUAUCGAUAGAUAUUGAUAAGUAAAUGAGUAUUGAUGAAUAUUGACAAAUAGAAAUGUAGCUGGUGAAUGGAUAAUAAUGCUAAUUUUGAUGUAUAUACAACAUAAAAAAAUCUCACCCACCCACCAGCACAUGCAUACAUCCUCCAUACAGACAUGCACAUAUAUAUAUUCAAUAUAUAUCUUGAGCAAAUUUAUGCAUAUAUAUGUAUAUAUUACAUAUAUAUAACAUGAGAUAAAUAUAUAUUUUCUAUACAAAUAAUACACUUAUAACUAAUAUAAGUGUUUAUGUGUAUAUAUAUAUAUAUAUAUAUAUAUAUACAUACGCGUACAUAUGAAAGCAAAGAGUUAUAUUGUGUUGGAGGUAGUGCUAUACACUAGAAGAAUAUAAACGGGAGAAAGACCGGGAGAUAUUUGGAUAUGAUGCUUUAUUAAGAAAGAAAGAACGAAAAAAGAAAGAAAGAAAGAAAGAAAGAAAGAAAGAAAGAAAGAAAGAAAGAAACGUUGGUUAGCCAACUGAGUAAAAAGGAGAAAGCAAGACCUGUUACUUAUUGAUAAAAGGAGAAAUUGAUAGAUUGAUUAAUUCGCUGACUGAUAGUAAAAAAGAAGAAUAGCGUUGUAUACCUCUCCGACGGUCAGCUCCGUAACAACUAGUUCUUUCGCCAGAGGGAACAUGCAGUUAAGUGAAUAUAAUAUGCACUAUAAAUAUACACACACACAUAUAUAUAUAUAUAUAUAUAUAUAUAUAUAUAUAUAUAUAUAUGUACAUACACAUGUAUAUAUAUAUAUGUAUGUAUAUUUACAUGUAUGUAUAUGUAUAUGUGUGUAUAUAUAUAUAUGUAUAUAUAUAUAUAUAUAUAUAUAUAUAUAUAUAUAUAUAUAUAUAUGUAGUGAAUCUCAAUCAAUCUGUGUUGUUAUAUAUAUAUCUGUGUAUGUAUGUAGGCAGGCAGGUAGAUAGGUAGGUAGGUAGGUAGGUAGGUAGGUAGGUAGGGUUGGGUAUAUACAUGUUAGGUAUAUAUAUGUGUGUGUAUACAUGUAUGUAUUUAUUUAUGUGUAUAUGUGUAUAUAAAUAUACAACUAAAUAUGUAUAUAAAUAUAUUCGCACGAAUAUAUAUGUAUCUAUAUAUAUAUAUAUAUAUAUAUAUAUAUAUAUAUAUAUAUAUAUAUAUAUAUAUACAUACAUACAUACAUACAUACAUACAUACAUACAUACAUACAUACAUUCAUGUGUAGAUAGAUACAUGCAUACAUGCGCAUGCACAUACAUGCAGGCAAAAGGCCCAAAAGCCAAAACAAACCGCCGUCCUUCCUUAGGUCAGGCAGAGAGCAACCGAUCUCUGAUAAGGUGUUAAUAAAUAUUGAAACUAGUUAAACCCGUCUUAUUUUUGACUACACACCGAGAAGCACUAUGGUUUAACGAAGACGACAGCUGGUCACAGCUGUGCUAUGUGUGUUUACUAAAAAUACACGUUCUUAAGCCCACAUAUCCGAUGUGUCUGGAUUAGCAUAAGCUAUCCAUUCUUGUGUGCUACUAUGCGCUCUGUCAUAAGGCAGUUUUUGACCGAGCGCUGACGAGCGCUAAGUGUAUGAUUACUUUAAACACGCUCGUAAACUUCGUUUGCAUUUCUGCAUAAGGUUCUAUGUAUUUAUCUAAUUUUCUAAAUGUCCAUUUCUCUAUUUAUCUUGUCUAUAUGUGUGUUUCUGUAUAUCAUAUGAAUGUGUGCGUGUGUGUGUGUGUCUCUGUCUAUGUCUGUGUAUGUUUAUAUAGAGAUUUAUACAGCCCCCAGAACUUCUCUGUGCAUAAAUAUAUAUGUAUAAACGCAAACAUACAUAUACACACAUCUCUCUUUCUCUAUCUCUCUCUUUAUAUCUCUACUCUCUCUCUUUCUCACUAUAUAUACAGAUAUAUAUGCACACAUACACAUACACACACAUGCAUAAACGAACAUUAGAAUACAAAAACGUACAUAUACACACAGUUAUGUAUGUACCUACAUAUGUAUGUAUGUAUGUAUGGAUGUAUAUAUGUAUGUAUGCAUAUAUGUAUGUAUGUAUUCAUGUAUGUAUGUAUAUAUGUAUGUAUGCAUGUGUGUAUGUAUGUAUGUAUGUAUGUAUGUAUGUAUGUAUGUAUGUAUGUAUGUAUGUAUGUAUGGUGAACCCCGUGCAAAAGCUGAAACAAACCCAAAUACGACUCGAAAGUAGAUAGAAGGAAAACUAACUGUUGCAUAUAUGUGUUUGUGUGUGUGUGUGUGUUUGCUAUGUGCAUAUAUAUGUGUAUGUGCGUGUGUAUGAAGCUUAUAUACAUCCACACGCACACGUGUGCGCUUGUGGUUGUAUGUGGCUACAGAAAAUAACGAAAUAUUUAUUGACAGAAUUAGUAUGCAGGUGUUGUAGUAUGGUGCAACAUAGAACAACAUAGAAUGGGGAGUAGAACUAUUACCACUACGUUAGCAUUAGCAGACUCCAGUGCCAGGAAUGUCUAUGACAAACUUUGUUGGUUUUUACCCUUGUUGCUGGUGGUAAUGUUUGUGGUGGUGGUGAGUGUGGCGGUAUUGGUGGUGUUAUUGUUGAUGGUGGUGGUGGUUGUGGCGGUAAUGAUAUUGGCAAUCGUUGAUAGCAAUCGUAAGGGCAAUGGUAGCGAUAGUGGUGUUGGUGGUGGUGUUGGUGGUGGUGGUGGUGGUGGUGGUGGUGGUGGUGGUGGUGGUGGUGGUGGCGGUGGUGGCGGUGGUGGUAGUGUUGCUGGUGUAAUUGUUGAUGUUGGUGGUGGUGCUGGUGCUGGUGGUGGUGGUAGUGGUGGUGGCGGUGGUGGUGGUGGUGGUGGUGGUGGUAGUGUUGCUGGUGUAAUUGUUGAUGUUGGUGGAGGUAGUAGUGGUGGUGGUGGUGGUGGUGGUGGUGGUGGUGGUGGUGGUGGUGGUGGUAGUGUUGCUGGUGUAAUUGUUGAUGUUGGUGGUUGUGGUGGUAAUGGUAUUGGCAAUCGUAGAUAGCAAUCGGGAGGGCAGUGGUGAUGGCGGUUGUUGUGGUGGUUGUGGUGGUGGUGGUGGUGGUGGUGGUGUAGGAGGAAUUCUUGCAGCUAUCUUUGUUACUUUUUUGUUGUUAUUGUUGCUGGUGUGUUGCUGCUGCUGAGGCUGCUGCUGCUGCUGCGGUUGUUACCUUUCCUUCUAUUCUAGCGGUGAUUUCGAUUGUACAUGCUGUCGUUGUUUAUAUUUUGCAGUAGCAGCAGUAGCAGUAGCAGCAACAGUAGUAGUAGUAGUAGUAGUAGUAGUAGUAGUAGUAGUAGUAGUAGUAGUAGUAGUAGUAACAGCAGCAGCAGCAGUGGUGGUGGUAGUAGUAGCAGCAGUAGUAGUAGUAGUAGUAGUAGUAGUAGUAGUAGUAGUAGUAGUAGUAACAGCAGCAGCAGCAGUGGUAGAGUAGUAGUAGUAGUAGUAGUAGUAGUAGUAGUAGUGUCAAUAGUGGUGGUGAUUGUGGUGGUGGCAGUGGUGGCGGCGGCAGCAAUAGUAGUGGUGGUAGUAGUAGUAGUAGUAGUAGUAAUAGUAAUAGUAGUGCUAGUUGUUGGUGUUGUUGUUGUUUUUGUUGGUGUAGAUAUCCUUAUUUUUGUUUGUUGUUGAUUGUUUUUACACUUCCGUUUUGUUAAUGUUGCAGUUGUUGAUGUUUUUGCUGUUCAUGGCUGAAAUAGCUGCAAUUGUUUUUUUGUAUUUGUUUUUGUUUCUGUUGUUCAUGUUGAUGUUGUUGUUCGUGUUACUGCUACUACUUGUAUUGUUGUUGUUGCUGUUGUGGUUCUAAAUAAACGUGAUGGUCUUACACUCAUACUAUCGUCAUUACUCUCCUUGCUCUGUUUUUUUUCUUUAUUGAUAUGGUUGCUAACGUUUCUAGCUCUUCUUUUUCUUCUUCUUCUUCUUCUUCUUCUUCUUCUUCUUCUUCUUCUUCUUCUUCUUCUUCUUCUUCUUCUUUUUCUUCUUCUUCGCCUUCUUCUUCAUCUUAUUCUUCUCCUUCUCAUUGUCAUCUUUUUCUUCUUUUCUUUCUUAUUCUUCUCCUUCUCAUUGCUUUCUUCUUCUUUUUCUUCUUCUUCUUCUCCUUCUUCUUCCUCAUCUCAUUCUUCUACUCAUUGUCAUCUUUUUCUUUUUCAUUUCUUUAUCUUAUUCUUCUCCUUCUCAUUGCUUUCUUCUUCUUCUUCUUCUUCUUUUUCGUCUUCGUCUUCAUCCCCCUGCUCCUCCUCCUCCUCAUCAUCAUCAUCAUUAUCUUAUUCUCCUCAUUUUCUUCUUUUCACCUUGGGCAUUGCUGUUUUUGUUAUGUUGUGGCUGUUGUCACUGGUGAUGCUGCGUUUAUUACCUUUGUUGUUGUUGUUGUUGUUGCUUUUCCUAUUGUUGCAACUGUUGUUACUGCUGUUGUUGCUGCUGUUUCUUCUUCUUGUCAUUGCUAUUGUUAUUGUUGUCGCUAGCGCUGGUGAUGUCAAUUCUGCGAAUUCUUUCAUUCGGCGGUUCGGUCUUCACAUUUCUCUCUCUCCCUUCUGUUGUUGUAAUUUCUGACAUAGCAGACGUAUAAAUAAAGACAUUCUAGCCAUGAUCAACCCUUCUUUUUAUUCUCUAUCUUUAUUUUUCUUGAUAUAACAAACCCCCAAGUACAUUAUACAUUAUACUUCCAUUUAUUUUUUUAAGGACGCUAAGACAUGAUUUGAGGGAGAUUUAGCUGCUCUUGGGAACAUUUUGUAUGAACAGGUGGAGCUUCAAUCACUAGACUUGUUGCUGGUGUCGCCGUUGGUGUUUAACCUUGGUUGUACUCCUAUUCAAACAAACAUGUGACCCCUUCUCUCUCAUAUGUAAAGAGACCUCAGCAUCAGGUUGUUUACAAAUAGGUUGUGUUUUGAGGAAGAUUUGGCUAGUAUCUCGAGAAUGAUGGAUGACCACCAACAGCAUCUUUGCUAGCUUUUGUUUGUUGUUAAUGUUGUUAUUUAGCCCAUUUUCCUCCUAUAGAGAGAGAACCGAGCCACACAGUCCUUAGACAGCGCAGUGUGCUUUGAGUGUGACCUGGCUAUCAUUUCUAGCAUUUCGAGCGUUCAUGUACAGUUUCGUCUGUUAGCUUUCCGUUGCUGUUAUGGAUGUAGUUUAGCCCUCAAUUUUAGUCCUGAUCUAACUGUCAAGAAGUCCUUUUUAUUUUUCCAAACUUCAGAGAACCUAAUAUCAAAUUGCCUACAUGAGUAGAGUAGGCUUUGAAUGGGAUUUGGUUAUUAUUUCAAGCAUGUCAGAUGACCAUUGCUUGCUGUUUCUGCCGGUAUCUCGAUAGUCCCAGGUAGGCCUUGAUCAAAACCUACGUGAUUCAUUUUCCCCCUCUCUCAAGGAAUCAAGCAUCACACAACCUAAGACGGUAGCGAAUGAUUUAGGGCAGUUUAGGUUGCUUUUUCAAGCAUGUCAGCCGACCAUAGCUUGUGAUUUUGGUUGGCUGUUUGUUUAGUACAAGGUUAGUACAAGGUUAGUCCGCACAGGAAAUCCAAUAUUACAUUAUCUAGGAUGAUGGGGGUGUGAUUUAAAAGAGAUUAGGUUGCUAUAUCUACCCCGUUUGCUCUUUAUAUAUCUCUGAUAUCACCACUGGAAUAAUGCUAGUAGUGUUAGGGUUAAUGGUGUGGACGUUUAAAACUAGCUCAGACCUAUGGGCGAUGGCAUUCUAAGCGUGGACAUCGGGCUUGUUUUCAUUCAUACUUUAUCAUUUUCCUGUCUUUUAUUUUUAUAAAUCAUUAAAUGGUUCUUACACACAUCUUUAUUGCGAUGCAGAUGCAUGCAUAAAUUUGAUUGUUUUGUUUUCAGAUUUCUAUAAUCUGUAGAGUUUUUAAAAACUGUUUAUUUAUAAUUUUCAUUUCUGUAGUAAGAAAAUUUUAUCCUUGUGCUUCACUUGGCACAUUUUCUUUAAUAUUAAAAUGUUGCGCAAAACAUAAUACAGAGACAAUUGAAACAGAAUUGUGCUUUAUUCGAAGUGUUCUGAGGUAGACAACAUUUCUUACUAUGCAGUUUGGUAUUGUCUGGAAAAGAGGCUCGCAAGCGGUUUCGAUGAGGAAUCUUAUCGUAUCAAAUAUCAGUAAAAAUUUAUCUGAUGAAUCUCAUUUAUCUGAUGAUAAAUGGAAGAUAAGAAAGUUCAUUUUCGGCACUUGAUGCUUUUCUUUUUCCAUUAAGGGAAAAAUGCCUCACAAGCAACCAAAGAAAUAUGCGCAGUUUACGGUGAUGUUACUUUAUCCGAAAGAACUGUACUGAAGUGGUUCGCAAGCUCGAAAACUUGAGAAUGCGUUAUGGAACUCCCCAUAAGAGAAACAAGAAUAUGUUGUUACAAAUUUAGCAACAAUUAAGUUCUGUCCCUGAGACUUGUUGAUUUUCAUUGAAAAGAUCAGUGUAACUGGAAACUGGUGGCGCCUAAACUGAAACAAUAUCUUCUUUGCAUGAAGAAAAGGUGUGAAGGAAUGAAAACAUCUCUCUUGGUACAUCCUCUAAUAAUCGAGGCCUCGAUCGCAGGAGGCGUUUUUUGUAACAGCUAAUCUUGUAGCAUUACAGAGUGUUGAUGCAUUUAAAUUUCCUGGUGACAUAGUGGCUGCUCUUCGUUGUUUCUGUAAUUCUAUGAGAAGCUGCCAUAAACGUGUAAUAGAAUUCCCUAAGAUGCUCUGAUGACUGUUUCACACAGCCUUUGGUAUUUUGAUAUCACCAACUUCAUGUCGACCGCUAGCAUACUAUUUCUUCCAGCUGAAGUAAAACAUACGCACACUGGAUUGAUUCGACCUUCACGAUAGACUUGCCUGAUACUAGGAUCCCUGUCAUAUGUGAUAAUAUUCGAAGUAAUAACGUUCGACAUAAAAACAUGAACCUGAAAUGUUAACUCAUGUUCUCUCUUGCUAUACCUUUGCUGAUCCUGUAAACUGCUAGUGAGAAACAACACUGGUAAUUAAUUAUUGCAACGAUCAUUUCCUGCUUAAUUAAUUCGUUAAUCUGACUGCUGAACUUUUUCAGUGCCAGACACGAUUUAUUCCAUUUACAGGAUCCUGGUUCUUUUUAAUUCUUUCGUAAUCGAUUGUGUAAUCAUGGAUUUGUGCUAUUCGAAACUGCGAAAAUGUUUUUAAUUUUAUUUAUUGAGUCUAGAGGAUAUUACCCACAGCAAUUACAAUCUCUCCGAGAACGUUGAGCUUGAUACCAUUAAUAUUCCGUUUACCUUUUUGCUGGUCAUCAUUCGCAGGAAAGGCAUGAGCAGGGAAGACAUUCUAGUAUUUCGAUAUUCAGGGGUGGAAGGACAAAGCAUAAUAGUUAAUGCGAGUCUGGAAGGGCGAAUGCCACAAUUGAAGAGACAAGUGGAAUGGGAUGCCAGAAUGGUGAAGGCAGGAAACUAGCCAGCUUCAAGAACAACGGUCAUUACAGUAACAAUAGGAAACGUCAGAGGGUCAGAGAAUAAACUGUGUAUAUUAGUGAAUCAGUUGAGUGGCCUUUCUCUGGAUACAGUCCAGGGUGUUUUUCUAAGUAACAGCAUCAGAAGCAGCAGCAACAGCCGUUCAAGAAUUUGGACCUGGAGAUCUCCAUUUGCAGUGACUUCGAGGGCCACCUCCCAGUGGCGUCGGGCGUCAACGAAGAGCCCUCGACUAUAAAAGGACGACCAAAUUUUUUUUUCUUCCAAGGUCUAGGGUCUCCCGCUCCUAAGCUCUACACCAUCACCUAAUCACCCUUACCCUUCUUGCUGCUUAACAACAACAGCAACAAUAGCAGCAGCAACGUUCCAGAUGUAGAAGCAGUACUCAAAUAUGCAUCUUGUUUGAGUCUUGUAGAGUACCAGCUGGUGUUGCGGACUGAAAUAUUUUCUCGUCCCGAAGAGAAAGGCUAGUGUUUGGAGUGUACAGACUAACAUCGGUAUGUUAAAGGUGUGCUUUCGCCAGCAGGGAGACGCUUGAAGCAACAGUGAAGUUUCAAGUAAAUGUGGCAAAUAUAUUUAGUGGAGAUGAGAUGAAGGGAUAUUUUUACCGAUAUGUGUAGUGCUUGAGUUUUUGAUGCUAAAAUAAACAAGCAAACGAUUUAAAAAGUGAGAGAUAGUUGGAGCCUGUAGGAAAGAAAUUUUACUACGAGAUUCGUAUGUCAGUCACGAUUGAAGGUUUUACUUUGCCAAAAUUAACAAUAUUCUUUUCACCAAAUCCGUAUAAAUCACAAACUACCCCAGUCGGAUAUGCAAUGGAAACUUUAUCCGCGUACGAUCUGGAUGACUCGAGGCUUUUCGAAGUCAGUAUUGGUGUUGAAGAAAACCAGGCAAAAUCUUCUAGGCAGUUAAAAACAACGCAGAAUGUUAUCGAAACUUUUACACCUCACAACACAAAUCUUGCAUAUAUCCUAAAUUCCAUUCCAAUUACAUACUAACAAAAAUGAGAGAGAUUAUCAUUGGAAAGAUUCUAUGAGCCUGAAGAAAACCUGCUUUCCAGCCCCUAUCGAGUCAUAAAUAGCCACCUGUGUAAAACCACCUCCAGUGCUGCUAACAUCAAGGUCAUUGACUUCUUGUCUGAGUCUCGGAAGAUCAUACUUACAUCUAUGCAUAUGAAUUUUCGAAACAACACUGGCACGCAAUUCGAUUCAGGUUGAAUGAAAGAUAGCUCGCGUGUACGUUUCCUAAAAUUUAAUCUUAAUGCAACAAACAGAAAGAAAAAAUAGUUGCUAUAAAUAUACACUUUUUAAGGCCCCAGAGAACGACACGAUGGAUACAAAUUGGGAUAUGCUAGUUCAUAUAGAUAUCAGCCAAAUAUUUCUGCGAAAGACCAUCAAGAAGGGAAAUAACUUAGGCUCUUUUUAAACAGGAUAAUGCAUCAGAAAGAAAUAGAAAAGUUUACCAAAUAUAAAAAUACAGAAAUAUUUAAUGUAGGAUAAAAUUUUUUCGAAAAAAAUUUUCAUCAAUGGCCAGCAUAUUAAAAAAUACCUUUAAAGGUUAAAUUUAUAAACAACUUAUAAAUAAGGGCAAACGAAAAAAUUUCUAAUGCCAAAUAUGCCGAAAUUAGACACCUUGUCCAUAACCAUAUAAUUUUUCACAAUUUUUUUCGAAAAAAUGUUAUCCUACAUUAAAUAUAAAUAUAUAUAUAUAUAUAUAUAUAUAUAUAUAUAUAUAUACAUAUACAUACAUACAUGUAUAUACACACAUACAUACAUACAUACAUACAUACAUACAUACAUACAUACAUACAUACAUACAUACAUACAUGUAUCAGCAAACUAUUACAUAAACGACAUAAGUUGGGUCUUCUGGUUCUAGCGAGAAGGACAUUGCAUAGAAUUGGUCUUUCAUGCGACUUCAAAUGGCUGCUGGUAUAGCUAUCCUUAUGAAGACGUAGAAAGAACAGGACCAAACGGUCCUCACCUCUAACGCUUUAUGCUCUCACCGAAGUUCGAAUGACAGCCCUUCGGAAGCCUUCGUUUUAGCCUAUUGUGUUCAAGGCUGCUCCCUUUGAAAGUUUCACAACCUCGUCUUAUAUGCCUUAUGUUUCCCCCAGUCAGCUCUUUCCAAAGUUAGCUCUUCCCCGUUCACCACAUUGGUCUGCAGUUUCUUCAGAUUUUGCCUUAUAUUCAAGUUUCUACCUCUCAUUCCUCCUCUGUGUCUCUGUGUGUUUGUAAAAUAUAGUGUACUUUCAAUGAAAUGGUCAAUAUAAUACCAAUACACUACAUAUACUCCAUGUACACGGAGUUGCAUUCGGUAACUAAUGACAGCAGACGAUAAAUUCAUACAAAGAAUAAGACCAACGCUAAUUAGUCUGUUAUUGUAGUCAAAGGCUAACACGAAAAGAACUGACAGCUAAUUAAAUUUUCAGUCCCUACAGGCCAUAAUGCAUUACUAUAACAAGUGGAGAAAUUAUACUAAUAUAAAAUAAUCUGUAAUAAAAAUAGAUGAAUAAUAAUAAUAAUAAUAAUUAUUAUUAUUAUUAUUAUUAUUAUUAUUAUUAUUAUUAAUUAUUAUUAUUAUUGUUGUUGUUGUUGUUGUUAUCGUCAUCAUCAUCAUCAUCAUCAUCAUCAUCAUCAUUAUUAUUAUUAUUAUUAUUAUUAUUAUUAUUAUUAUUAUUAUUAUUAUUAUUAUUAUUAUCAUCAUCAUUAUUAAUAUUAUUUAAGAAGUUUCAUCUGUUAUGAAUGAGAGCAAAAAAAACUGCGGUGACUGUAGUUGCAAAGAAGGUGAAAUCAAUAGCAAAGCAAAAUGCGUUUGAACAAUUGACUGAUAGGUGGGAAUAAAAACCUCUCCAUGGCAAAUAGUUGGCCUGUAGCAAACAAGUUGCUGUAGACCAGAAACACACCCAUCUGUGGCUACGGAGUUCAGGGCUAAAUACAGAGUGAAGGCUUUAUCUUGGCUGUUCAAGAGCAGAGCUUAUUGACUCGGAACUAUCAAGCUAAUGGGAGGAAAAAUGGAGUACACCCAAAGUGCCGAUACUGCAAUGAUGGGAUUGAAAGAGUGGAUCAUCUAAUCUCUGGAUAUAAGGUUUUAGCACCUGUAGAGUACAAAUCAAGACAUGACAGAGUUAGCCAAUAUCUAAAUUGGAUUAAUGUGUCGACAUUAUAAAAUUAAAACUGCUGACAAAUGGUACAAGCACAACCCUGAGGUUGUAGCUGAGGGAGAAAAUGUAACGAUUCUUUGGGGCUUUCCAAUAUGUAGGCAAAUAAACAAGAUCAUAUUGUGAAAGACCAAAACAAUAAAGUCUGUUUAUUGAGUGAAACGAACAUAGUCUGUGACCAUAAUAUCUCGGCAAAAGAAUUGAUUAAAUUCAGAAAAUAUGAAAAUUUGCUAAUCGAAACAGAAAAGAUGUGGGGUUCUAGGAGCUCUUUAAGUUGUAGGAGCACUUAGAAUGAUCAAAAAAGGGAACUGAAAAUUAUUUCUCGAUGAUCCCUAGCUUACCAUCUAUGCAGGAGGUGCAACAGAUUGUCUUAACUGGUAGGUCAGACAUACAGAGAAGAACAUUGUCGUAGUGAAUUUUCUUUCCCUUCUGUCUCUUAUUUUUUUUAUUCUUCUUUCUUCUAUUUGUUUCCGUCAUUUGACCGGGGCCAUGCUGGAGCACCGCCUUUAGCUGAAUAAAUCGACCCCAGGACUUAUUCUUUGUGAGCCUAGUACUUAUUCUAUCGGUCUCUUUUGCCGAACAGCUAACUUCGUAAUCACACGUAAGCACGCCAACAUUUGUUGUCAAGCGAUGACGUAGGGACAAACACUGACACACAAACAUAUAUAUAUAUAUAUACGACAGGCUUCGUUCAGUUUCCGUCUACCUCAUCCAUUCACAAGGCUUUUGUCAGCCCGAGACUAUAGUAGAAUACACUUGUCCAAGGUACCAUGCAGUGGAACUGAACCCGGAAAGCAUGUGGUUGGGAAGCAAGCUUCUUACUACACAAUCACACCUAUUUACUAUAAUGAUAAUAAUAAUAAUAAUAAUAAUAAUAAUAAUAAUAAUAAUAAUAAUAAUAAUAAAUGCAGUACCAGGCAAUGGCUCUCAUGGCUUCUGAUCUUAACUGAUUGGAAGUGUUAUCAUGUACAUUGUUUUGUCUUGGUAUAAAAGAUGGGCUACAGCAAAUAUUCUGCUCAAUACCACAUAUUUGCUUGUCAGUUGUUUGACUUUAACCAGUUGAGCAUGUCCCUUAGUGGCUGACGAUAUGUGCAUCUCUGAUCACGAGCAGAAGUAGUGGGGGAGCAUCAUGGCCAUGUGUUGAGAGGGAUUCUUUGGGGUUUGAAUAAUUCACCUCUGGAAACAUAGGUGUUUCGUUCAACAUCCUAAAGCAACCCUUAUUCGGGGACCGUUUGAGCGGGAUGGGCUACUCAACCUGAAGAAAAUUCUAACUGGGCCCCACCUGCAAGGCCAUGUGCUGUUUAUCUUGAUAUGAGAUCACCAUGUCGCGCACAUAUGGUUGUGAUGCAUGUGCCUGGUGUACCUUUAUCAGACGGGUAGUCAUGAUGGGUAUAUUGGGCUUCGUAUAUUUUACCCCAGUGACACUUUGAUGGCAUGAACUGCUCUCUCACUCAAUAAUAAUAAUAAUAAUAAUAUGACUGUCCCAAUCGGCAUCAAUGUUUCUAACAAGGACUAACAAAAACUAAGUAUAAAGAUCUUGAAAUAGAAAUUGGCAAAAUGUGGAACCUCAAGACUAAAACAAUACCUGUUGUCAUAAGUGUCCUAGGAAUGAUAGCAAAAGGGGCUGAUUUCUAUUUAGCUUAGAUACCAGGAAACCUCAAAGUGGCAGAAAUUCAAAAGAUAAUGCUCAUGGGAACUGUCCAUAUCCUACGUAAACUACUGUCUACGUAAUCUAAAAUUUUAAAACAAACUUAUAAUUUUCUUAUGUUUUCUUAAACAUUCUUUAGAUCAAUACUUUGUGCAAAACCAAAUAUAUGGCACCCUAGGCAUAACACCAACUUGAACUUCUAACUUGUUAUCUCUAGAGGUCUUUGGGUUAGACUUGGAAUCAACUUGUACAAAUACAAAGCAAAAUGGAAAUAACAACAACAAUGAUAAUAAUAAGAGUAAUAAUAAUAAUAAUAAUAAUAAUAAUAAUAAUAAUAAUGAUGAUGAUGAUAAUAAUAAUAGUAAUGAUAAUAUAAAAGAUGGUAUAGACACACACCAGAAAAGGUCACAGAAAACGAGAAAGCAACCAAAGUUUGGGAUAUGCCAAUACACACAGAUAGAGAAAUUAAGGCCAACAGACCAGAUAUAUUUGUCAGAGAUCAUGAAGAGAAAAAAUGCUUUCUAAUUGAUGUAUCAAUACCAGCAGAUGAUAACGUUUCUGGGAAUAGAGGUAACUCAAAUGUGGAAUCUAAAAACAGAAACUAUUCCUAGCAUAGUAGGCGCAUUAGGUAUGAUUAAAAAAAUAUUCAGACAAAUAUAUAACAAAAACACGAGGACUUACAAAUAUAUAUAACAUACAGAAAAUUGCACUUCUGGGCACUGCACACAUCCUACACAAAACACUUUCAAUACAGUAACCGUAAGAGCAUCACAAUACCCAAGUACAUACCCAAGGCACACAGAGCUGCGCUCGGUAGUGAAGUGAAAGCACGCUAUAAAAAUAAAACUACUGAAUAAUAAUAAUAAUAAUAAUAAUAAUAAUAAUAAUAAUAAUAAUAAUAAUAAUAUUAAUAAUGAAGAAGAAGAAGAAGAAGAAGAAGAAGAAGAAGAAGAAGAAGAAGAAGAAGAAGAAGAAGAGGAGGAGGAGGAGAAGAAGAAGGAGGAGGAGGAGGAGGAGAAGAAGAAGAAGAAGAAGAAGAAGAAGAAGAAAUAGUGGCUGAGAAUUUCAGCACUGAAACCAGGGACUGAAGUUUUCAUAUCAGCGGCACAAGAUCAAAGACCGUUUACCAGAAACUAUCAGAAUAACCUUCUUCGAAACAGGUGGUGGUGGUGGUGGUGGUUUUGGUGGUGGUAGUGGUGGUGGUGGUGGUGGUGGUGGUGGCGGUGAUGGUGGUGGUGGUGGUGGUGGUGGUGGUGGUGGUGGUAGUAGUAGUAUAGGUGAUGGUCGUGGUAGUAGUGGUUAUAAUAGUAGUAGUAGUAGUAGCAGUAGUAGUAGUAGUAGUCUCGACAACAAUAGUGCUUAUAGUAUUAGCAAUAAUGAUGAUAUUAUUAAUAAUGGAAAUAGCGAUAAUAAUAAUGCAGAUGAUGAAUGAUAUCAACAUACAAUACCAAUGGUAACAUCAAUAGCAACAACUACAACAAAAACAAGAAAAAAAAGCAAUAAUGAUCGUAACAACAAAUGAAGCCAAUCUCAUGAAAUUUACAAGAGAGGAAAUUGAUUAUUUUUCAAAUAACUACAUGAGGAAAGAUCAAACAUUUUGAGAUAAAUUUGAUUAUGUAUCAGUAACUCGUAGACCCCUCUGGCUAAUAUGAAUAAAUGGGUUUUGUGAACAACAGAUGAACGACUGAUGUUCUCUAAAUCUAUUUCAUCUGCAUUUGUUGCUAAUUUAUACGUUUAUAAAUGAAUAACUGGAAAAAUGAAAAAUUCUCAGCAUCUAAAAACAUACAAGAGAGAGAGAGAGAGAGAGAAAGUGGCGGAGACAUAUAUAUAUAUACAUACAUACAUAUAUAUAUGUAUGUAUGUAUAUAUAUACAUAUAUAUAUAUAUAUAUAUAUAUAUAUAUAUAUAUAUAUAUAUUUAUAUAUAUAAGCACGAAUACACACGCAAGCACACAAACAAGCACAUGUGUAUAUGUAUAUAUGCAUGUACGUGUUCACUCAUACAUGUACAUGUAUUUCAUAUAUGUAUAUAUAUAUAUAUAUACAUAUAUAUAUAUAUAUACACUCAGAUAUACUGGCAUUAUCCAUAUAAAUUUGUAAAAGUAAAUGCAUAUAUGUGUGUGUACGUAUGUAUGUGUGUGUGUGCCUGUCUGUACACAUAUAUACGUGUAUGUAUAUAUAUAUAUAUAUAUAUAUAUAUAUAUAUAUAUAUACAAUUACGUAUACAUAUAUCUAUAUCUAUAUAUAUAUACAUACACACACAUAUUCAUACAUACACACAUACACACAAACACACACGCACGUACAUACUCAAACACACACAAUACCAUAUUCUUACUCUACAUGUAUAUAAACACAAUUCGCACACAAAUUAUACACACAGAUGCUAUUAUACUCCAUGUAUGAAACGCAUAUUUUCCCACUAAAAUCAAGACCAAAAUUAAGAGUGCAUCAAAUGCAUGGUACUUGCUUGAAGUUUUUCAUGAAAAUGUAAUAAAGUCUUUUAUUAUUCAGCAAUUUAUUUCAUAUAAAAUGGAAUAUUAUAAAGUAAGCCAUUGAUUAUCGUAGAUUAUCUGCUCUUGUUGCAGUUGCGUAACACUGAUGGGAUACGGGGGUAUAAUAAAGUGUUUAACAAAUUUUAGACGGCAGAUAAUGAUGGCGACUAAUAAAUAGAUUAUACAAUGUGUGUGUGUGUGUGAGGUGGUGUGAUUGGAUAGACAGAGGGAGAGAGUGAGCGAGAGAGACAGACAGAUAUGCAGACAGAUGGAUAGAUAGAUAAACAGACAGGCAGACAGGCAGAGAGGCAGACAGACAUGCAGAGAGACAGACAGACAGACAGAGAGAUAGAUAGAUAGGUAGAUAGAUAGAUAGACAGACAGACAGACAGACAGACAGACAGACAGAUAGAUAGAUAGAUUGAUAGAUAGAUAGACAGACAGACAGACUAACAGACAGACAGACAGACAUACAGACAGACAGACAGAUAGAUAGAUAGAUAGAUAGAUAGAUAGAUAGAUAGAUAGAUAGAUAGAUAGAUAGACAGGCAGAUAGAUAGAUGGACUUAACCGGAACUUCUUUUGAAUUCAGAACGUUAAAACGGACGAAAUGCCGUUAAGUAAUUUGUCCGGCUUUCAAACGAGUCUGCUCACUUAACCGCCUUAUAUCGAGUUACAAUAAGAAUAAUUUAACAUUAAACUCAUGAAUUAGUCGAUGCUUUGUGUUGGUUAUACGUUUUCUAUCCGUUUACAAUUAGUGGCGAGAUAAUGACUUCGAAGUAGCGGCCUUCUACUUUUCGUUAGCAAGCGCAGAGCGGAACUUCCACUUCAUUCACGGUGACAGUGAUGUCGAAGUUACGCUCUGCCCUUGUUACUGGCGAUGUAUUUGAUGUAAUCGAAUAUCCACACUCCUCGCAAAAUUUUAUACACACACACAUACACACACAUACAUGUAUAUAUAUAUAUAUAUAUAUAUAUAUAUAUAUAUAUAUAUAUAUGUGUGUGUGUGUGUGUGUGUGUGUGUGUGUGUGUGUGUGUGAGUAUAUAUACUCUUUUUACUCUUUUUAUUUGUUUCGGUCAUUUGACUGCGGCCAUGCUGGAGCACUGCCUUUAGUCGAGCAAACCGACCCCGGGACUUAUUCUUUGUAAGCCCAGUACUUAUUCUAUCGGUCUCUUUUGCCGAACCGCUAAGUGACGGGGACGUAAACACACCAGCAUCGGUUGUCAAGCAAUGCUAGGGGAACAAACACAGACACACACACUUAUAUAUAUAUACAUAUAUACGACAGGCUUCUUUCAGUUUCCGUCUACCAAAUCCACUCACAAGGCAUUGGUCGGCCCGGGGCUAUAGUAGAAGACACUUGCCCAAGAUGCCACGCAGUGCGGACUGAACCCGGAACCAUGUGGUUGGUUAGCAAGCUACUUACCAAACAGCCAUAUAUAUAUAUAUAUAUAUAUAUAUAUAUAUAUAUAUAUAUAUAUAUAUAUAUAUAUGUAUGUACACAUGUAUAUAACUACGAAGAGGUACCCAAAAGAAACCGGAAACGUUUUCUGUGGGACAAACCAGUUGUAGUUCAGGCUUCCACCGCUAUACGCCACUUGAUGCAACCCUCAGGCAUCAGCCUGCCGACCCGUGUCAUCGGCUACUGUCGUACUGCUACGUGGUACGUCUUUGUUUUGCAGCACUUCUCUCCUGUUCGUUGAUUUUUGCGAUGGAUGAAACGAAGGAACUGAGUGCUUCUGUGAAAUUCUGUUUUUCUGCUGGGGAAAACAGCGGUCGGAACAGUUGUCAUGCUUCAAAAAGCUUAUAAGGACACCACUAUGAGCAACACUGUUUUUUAAGUGGUUUCCACUUAGAUAGAUAGAUAGAUAGAUAGAUAGAUAGAUAGAUAGAUAGAUAGAUCGUGAGGGAGAGAGAGAGAGAGAGAGAGAGAGAGAGAGAGAGAUUUAGAAGGAGAAUCAUUUAGAAGGUGAAUCAUUGUGAGUGUCUUUGAAACUGCAGCUCACACACCACCAAAUUGCUAGUAAACCGAAGCAUCAUCAUUGUCAAUUCCCUGUAAAAGUUCAAAGAAAGAUCAAUAUAUUGCGAUACACAGGUAUAUAUAUAUAUAUAUAUAUAUAUAUACGUAUGUGUAGUGGGGUAUAUGAACAGUUUCACUGACAUCAUCUUUUUAGACGUAAGUGCUGUAAUGUAUUCCAUAGAUAGAUAGAUAGAUAGAUAGAUAGAUAGAUAGAUAGAUAGAUAGAUAGAUAGAUAGAUAGAUAACCAGGACACUUAACAUCGGCUGUUCCUGUGCUCGAGAAUUUCAAUCACGUAAAUGGCACCACAGCCCUGUCGAGUGUGCUGAUGUAUGAGAGUUCUAACCCUGGCGUAAAAUACAUCGAAACAAAUACGAAAAGUGUCGACGGAGAGAGUUUUUGAUAAUUUUGUUGCGUUUUUUUAUUUGUUUUAUACUAUUCUUCAACUUUUUGCUAUUUCUUUCAUCUUCAAACGCUCACAGCGGGUGCUAAUGGAGUGACGUCAGUCGAAGAGAUUCGGGGGUUUAAUUUCCCAUUCCAUUCAUAAUAAAUUCCAGCCAUUUUACAGAGUAUUUCAGUUUCUCUGUCUAAAAGCGGAAAGGACGUCUUUGUGGUCUUUUUACGGUGGAUAAUUCUCUGAAAUGGGUUUGACGAGAAAAUCUCCAUCUUUUCUUUCUAAUCAUAUACACUAAAUUUCUAGCACGUAAUUCUAGGAUUCGAGCAGUGGCUCUCUCUAGGAAACCAUUCCUGAUUAUGUAUUCCUCCUAUUUAACUCGUACAUAUCCAAAAAUAAACCUAUAUACGAGCGCCCGCACAUACGCGCACACGUACACAGACAACCAGCAGGCAAGGAAGCCAGACAGACAGACAGACAGACAGAAAAUAAGACAGGUAGAAAGAUAGAUAGAUAGAUAGAUAGAUAGAUAGAUAGAUAGAUAGAUAGAUAGAUAGAUAGAUAGAUAGAUAGAUAAAUAGAUAGAUAGAUAGAUACAGAUGUUUCCAUGUUACCAUACACACAUACGUAUGUAUAUAACUGAUCUUUAUAACAUAAUAUAUUUAUACGUGUGUGUAUAUGUAGGUUCGUGUAAGUAUGCGUGCAUAUAUAUAUGAAUAUCUAUCUACGUAUCGAUACAUAUAUAUGUGUAUGUAUGUAUGUAUAUGUAUGUAUAUUCUUUUACUCUUUUACUUGUUUCAGUCAUUUGACUGUAGCCAUGCUGCAGCACCGGUACUUUGUCGAAGAAAUCAACCACUAGACUUAUUCUUUGUAAGCCUGACGCUUAUUCUAUCGGUCACUUCUGCCGGACCUCUAAGUUACGGGAACGUAAACACACCAACAUCGGUUGCCAAGGUAUAGUAGGAGGGACAAACACAGACACAAAAACACACAUAAAGGUAAGCAUAUAUGUGGAGGUGUAAUGGCCCAGUGGUUAGGGCAGCAGACUCGCACUCGUGGGAUCGAUACCCAGACCGGGCGUUGUGAGUGUUUAUUGAGCGAAAAUACCUAAAGCUCAACUCCGGCAGGGGGUGUUGGCGAACCCUGCUGUACUUUUUCACUGCAACUUUUUCACACUUUUUGUUUCUGCUGUAUAUGUAUUUCAAAGGACCAGCUUUGGCACAUACUGUGUCACGCUGAAUCUCCCCAAGAACUACAUUAAUAGUACACGUGACUGUGGAGUUGGCUCAGCCACUUAAACGUUAAUUUCAGGAGCAGGCUGUUCCGUUGAUCGGAUCAACUUGAACCCUCGUCGUCGUAACCGACGGAAUGCCACGAUACAUACAUACAUACAUAUAUGAAUACAUACAUAUAUAUAUAUAUAUAUAUAUAUAUAUAUAUAUACAUAUACAUAUAUAUAUAUAUAUAUAUAUAUAUAUAUAUAUAUAUAUAUAUAUAUAUAUAUACGACGGACUUCUUUCAGUUUCCAUCUAACAAAUCCACUUCCAAGGUUCUAGUCGGCCCGAGACUAUUGUAGAAGACACUUCCCCAAUGUGCCACACAGUGGGAUUAAAUCUGGAACCUUGUGGUUGGGAAGGAAACUUCUUACCACCCAGCCACUCCUGCGCCUAUAUAUAUAUAUAUAUAUAUAUAUAUAUAUAUAUAUAUAUAUAUAUAUAUAUAUAUACACACCUAAAUAUAUAUAUCACGGUGAUAUAUAUGUAUAGGUGUGUGUGUAUUAUCAACCCUGUAAAACUCUUCACAAACAGUUACUUAGAGACUCACGUUACUUUCGUCGAACAGUUGUCCGACGAAUGGUAACGCCUUUUCAAGAUUCUUACACCUUUAAUAAUUGCCUAUUAGUCUUCCUUCGGUAAUUGGGUGCUAUUGUUUCCACCUAGUUUAGCAUUUAUCUGCUUACUCCUGAGUGUAUACAUGUGUGCGUGUGUAUAUAUAUAUAUAUAUAUAUAUUGAAAAGGGAGACAGAGAAAGUGAGAGAGCUCGGAGUGAGAGACUGAAAAGUAUUGAAGGUUAAUUUAACACUUUUUUUUCUAUCUAUUUAUUGGCUUAUAUUUGAUAGUUUGUUUUUCCCCUGCUUUCCAUUUAACCGCUCUGAACUGGCUCCGUGGUUAAGAAGUUCGUUUUGCAGCCACGUGAUAACGGGGUCAAUUUCGUUGUGAAGUACGUUGUAUGUUACCUACUGUAGUCCGUAACCGGCCAAUUCCUUGUGACUUUCGCAGACGGUAAUUCUCCGCAAGCCGGUUGUUUGUUUUUGUGUGUGUGUGUAUUGUAGCGUCGUUUUGUUUUACAUCCAUACAACUUGGAUAUUUGGCAAAAAUUACCAGCUGCAUAGGUACAAGAUUCAGAAGAAAAAAAAAGGUCUACUGGGGUCGAUUUAUUCGACUAAAAUCUUUCAUGUGGACUCCGCAACGUGGCCGCAUUUUAAUGACUGAAACAAAACAAGAAAAUCCUUCAAAAUUACUGUUUGGUUUUAAUUAGUCGUCUUGCUCCAAUUAAAUGGUAUAGGGCGAUUCACUGACAUUUUUGUUUUGUCAUUCAGUACAUCAUCUAUUCUUUCCUUCUUUUAGUUGCUUCAGUCAUUUGACUGCGGUCAUGCUGUAGCAUCACCUUUUAGUCGAGCAAAUCGACUAUCCUUUGCACUUAUUCUAACGAUCUAUAUUUCGCCGGACCACUAAGCUACGGGGACGUAGACACGCCACCAUCGGUUGUCAAGCGAUGUUGGGAAGGGGGUGGGGAAACACAGAAAACAAACAUAAAUACACAUACAUAUACAUACACAUACACACACACGCAUAUAUAUAUAUACACGACGGGAUUCUUUCAGUUUCCGUCUACGAAAUCCACUCACAAGGCUUUGAUCGGCCCGAGGCUAUAGUAGAAGGCACUUGCCCAAAGUGCCACGCAGUGGGACUGAACAUGGAAGCACGUGGCUGGUAAGCAAAAUACUUACCACACUGACCACUCCGGCACCUAUCUGAAUUAUUUAGAUAGAUAGAUAGAUAGAUAGAUAGAUAGAUAGAUAGAUAGAUAGAUAGAUAGAUAGAUAGAUAGAUAGAUAGAUAGAUAGAUAGGUUGGUACGUAAUACUGUGUAUGUAUGCGUUGUGUUUCCAUGUCUAAAACUGUACAUUUCUGUAAAUGGUGAACAACUUUUCCUUAGGGUAUGUUUUUAUAACAAUAAAACACAAUUCUCUUAUUGUUAUUGAACUAUGUAACCGACAGCAAAUAGAACUUUUAUUACUAAUUACUUUAUAUAUAUAUAUAUAUAUAUAUAUAUAUAUAUAUAUAUAUAUACAUACAUACAUACAUACAUACAUACAUACAUACAUACAUACAUACAUACACACACACACAUAUAUACAUACAUAUAUAUAUAUAUAUAUAUAUCGUUUCUUAUGCCACUAUUCAACAGACAUUCAUGAUUACUCAGUAUAUAUGGUAGUCACAAUGGCUAGCACUAAUAGUUUGGCGCAUUUAAAUAGCUAAGGUUCUAUGAGAUAUAGCUGUGUCACGAUUGUAUGUGUAGAUAUCACUGCUAUAAAUCCCACACUUUCAUAUACAGUAUUUUAGAAGUAUCCCAAUCAUUUUCUGCUUUGUGCAUUGCGAUAGAUUUUAUGCAGCAAUAUUCCCCGUUACGGAAGGGAUACCUUUCUGAAAUUCUCACUGUAACCCGAAAUUCUGUAAAGCGAAAUAAAGUUUCCUUUUGGCUUUCAUAUAAAUUGAGCAUGGUGCUUUCCGAUAAAUUCUUUUUUUUUUUUUUUGAAAACGCAACCCAACGAAAACAUGCGACAUGUGAUACAGUCAUCUUUUCGCAUAACGAUAACAAUUUCUAAACAUACACUGUACAAGAUAAAUGCAUAAAAUAUUUCGAAGAGAAAAAUAUUAGGCGUAUGAGUGGCUGUGUGGUAAGUAGCUUCCUUACCAACCACAUAGUUCCGGGUUCAGUCCCACACUGCAUGGCAUCUUGGGCAAGUGUCUUCUACUAUAGCCUCGGGCCGCCCAAAGCCUUGUGAGUGGAUUUGGUAGGCGGAAACUGAAAGAAGCCCGUCGUAUAUAUAUGUGUAUAUAUAUGUAUAUAUAUAUAUAUAUAUAUAUAUAUAUAUAUAUAUAUAUAUAUAUAUAUAUAUAUAUAUGUAUGUGUUUGUGUGUCUGUGUUUGUCCCCCCAACAUCGCUUGACAACCGAUGCUGGUGUGUUUACUUUCCCGUAACUUAGCGGUUCGGCAAGAGAGACCGAUAGAAUAAGUACUAGGCUUACAAAGAAUAAGCACUGGGGUCGAUUUGCUCGACUAAAGGCGGUGCUCCAGCAUGGCCACAGUCAAAUGACUGAAACAAGUAAAAAAGAGAGGGAAUAAAUAAAGAUCGUGAUAUCGUAAUAGGCCAAGAUCUUGCCAAAGAAAAGCAUUGUGGACUUUUCUGUGAGGCGUGGUGGAAGAAUGAGAGUUACAAGAAGGAUGAGAAUAACUAUCUUCCAUCUUGUAGUUCUUGAACAUUAAAAUCAGAUGAGCGAUGAAAGAGCUGCCCGUACUUAUUUGAUGUUUAUGACGCAUCAUCUCGUUUUACAGCUCAAUACAAGAACUGGGCUCAUUGUGAACUUACGUAAAUUUUAUAUUACGUUAACUGACAGCGUAUUGCUAUCACGCUGAUAUUAUUAUUGCUGUUGACAGAUUGGUAUUCAAAAGCUGGUGGGUUGUUUGUGGUGGUGGUCGUGGAUGUAUUGGUUUUGUUGCUGGUUAUAGUAGGCGUGUUUGAUAGUGGUGGCGGUAAAUAUUAUUGUUGUUGAUAAUUACAUUGUCUUUUCUGUUUAGUCUUAAUCAAUCCACAUUGACCAACAUCAAAGACAUUUCAUUCAAAUUUUAGAUUACUCCAGGGUACGACAAUGUUCUCAUGUCAUUGCUUUUGUUUAUUUGCAUAUUUUAUUCAUACUAUUGUUGAUUUUCUGGCUGGUUAUUAAGAAGUGUGUGGCAUGGUAAUUGUAUGGUUUCAUUGGGUUUGGUGUUGAUGGGGAUUGCGUUGAUAUACAUAUACAUAUAUAUAUAUAUAUAUAUAUAUAUAUAUACAUAUAUAUAUAUAUAUAUAUAUAUACAUACAUACAUAUAUGUAUGUAUGUAUGUUAUGCGUAUAUAUAUAUACACACAUACGUACACACAUAUAGAGCGAUGGGUAAAUUGUUGCCAUAUAUAUAUUUUAUUUCGUGCAUGUGCAUUAUUUGUUUUUAAUUUUGUCGGCUACACAGUAUAGAGGGGUCAUUUGGGCACCGUCUGUGAGAAAAACAGGACCAUGACACAAUUCACUCUGCCAGAAAUUUGGAAAGAACAUGCAAUACUGCUUGGCUGUCGCGCCGGAGGCUCCAAUACGAACAUUUCAGAGUGUUUGGGUGUCUAUACCGAGAGUGAUAAAAAUCAAACAUCCAGUCAACAUCAUGACGUUUGGAGUGAUCACUAGUGAUAGUGACGUUAUGCCUCCAUUCAUCUUCCUACACGGCCUCAGACUCAACACAGAGACCUACAUCGAGUGCCUGGGGGAGGUAGUGCUGCCCUGGGUCAAGAGAGUGGCUACUGGAAGACCUUAUGUCUGGCAACAGUACUCUGCGUCAUGCCACACAAGCAGGAGAACGCAGUCUUGCCUGUCAGACAAUUUUUGCCACCACAUCACCUCUAACAGCUGACCACUUAACUCCCCAGAUUUCAACCCGCUUCAUUAUUAUGUGUGGGGCACAGUUGAGCGAGAGACAAAAAAAAAUCCUGAAGGCAAGGAUUAUGACAGCCAAGGAGAUCAUCCAGAAGAGUUGCAGGAGAUUCCGAAGUCGUCGGAGGCCGUGAUUGAAGCCAAUAGCAAUUUUUCAAGAUAUUUUUAUAUAAUUUUGGUAAAUAUAUGUUAAAAUGAGAUGUCAGUGGUAUUUUCACUUGUGCGUAAUUUAGAUGACAGUUUAUUCACUGCACCCUGUGUGUGUGUAGGUGUGGGUGUAGAUGUGGGUGUGUGUGUGUGUGUGUGUGUGUGUGUGUGUGUAACUCAACCUUCAUAAAUAGAUGGAUAGACGUUUUAUUUGCUGAAAUUCCUUCCAGAGUGACUCAUAGUCCUAGACUCCGGUGUCAAGUGGCUUAUCAUAUUGGCAUGAAACAGUAUAUACAUGUAUAUAUAUAUGAAUAUAUAUAUAUAUAUAUAUAUAUAUAUAUAUAUAUAUAUAUAUAUGUAUAUAUAUACAUACAUACAUACAUACAUACAUAUAUAUAUAUAUACAUAUAUAAAUAUAUACAUACAUAUAUACAUGCAUGUAUGUAUGCACGUAUGUAUGUAUGUGGAUAUAUAUAUAUAUAUAUAUAUAUAUAUAUAUAUAUAUACAUACUUAUAUAUAUAUAUAUAUAUAUAUAUACUUGUAUGUAUAUAUAUAGAUGAAUACAUGCAUAUAUAUAUAUAUAUGUUUAUAUAUAUUACAUGGAAAAAUGCGAGCAAAAGAAAUAAUGUUCUUAAGAUUAUAAAUCUGGAAAAGUACAGGACAAGUCAUUACACUUGAAAAUGUUCAGGACAAGUUAUUACAUAUAUUAAAGUACAGAGCAAAACUUUUUUACUCAAACAUUUCGUAGCGAAGGAUAAAAUUUCAAAUAAAAUAUUUAGAUUUAGAAAAUAUUAGCUUUUAUUAAAACUAAAAAUUCUAUUGCAAGUUAUUACUUCUAUUUAUUACUUUUGUUAAAAAUAAAAGAUAACUCAAUUAAAAUAUUUUUGUUACUUUAAAAUAUUUACUUUUUAAAUUAUGAAUUAAUAAUUAGAAGUUUAAAAAUCUUUAUAUAUAAAAGUGAAGUUGUGUGUCUGUCACCUACGAUUUAGAUUCCUAACUACUCUCACAUUUUGCGGUGCAGUUUAACCAAAAGCGGGUAUCUUAUAGUCGUGAUUCAUAUCGAGCCUGUCUGGGUAUUAGCGCGCGUCUACGAUGAGUCUACGAUUUAAAAAAAAAAUUACCACCAUUUUUAAUGCAUUUUUUGCUAUUAUAUAAGGGAAGUAACUCUCUUAAAAUGCUUAUAUAGUUAUUUCCCUUACAAACCCGAGCAACGCCGGGCGAUACUGCUAGUUGGUUAUAAAAAUAAUAGUAGUACAUUAGUAGUUAGUACAAUAAAUAGAAUAAUACAAAAAUUAGUUAUAUAUUACAGUAAAAUCAACCUAUAACAACAAAUUCACAGUAAAAUUUGAUUUAGUUGUUACCUAAGUUAUUGCCACGUCUUAACAUUUUUAGUGUUGACUUUAGUUAUAUUGGUACUUCUGGCUUCGUGUUUUAAGUAUUCUACGAUGUCAAUGUUUGAACAAAACGAUGGUACCUUUUUCAAUUAUAAGGUUAUUUUGUAAAUUAAAAUCAAAUAAUUUUUAUCAUUCAAAUUUUAUCCUUAGCUGCAAUAAUUUAAGAAAAAAAUUUCUUUUCUGUACUUUAGCAGAUGUAAUGACUUGUCCUGAACUUUUCCAGAUAUAUAACCUUAAGAAUAUAUCUUUUGCUCAUAUUUUUCCAUGUAAUCUAUGUGUUUUCCAGGCUAUGCUAUUAUGCAAAUUAAUAAUGUGUCAAAUGUGUCAAUUAGCAGUGUCGUUGAUAAUUUCUCCUUACCUCAACGAUGCCGGUGACAUAUAUUAAAAGUCUUUUGAAAUAUAUUCAUAAAAAAGUAUAGAACUAUAUUAUCAUCCUCGAAUUUGAGAAACAAACACUCAUAACCAUUUUGCUUUAAAACUUCACUGACACCAUGAAAUUCCUCGAAUUGUGCUCUAUCAUUUAAGCUUAAUUAAAAUAUAGUUUUUUUUACAAUAAAAAAAGUUAAUUAUACUUAAAUUCAGUUUUUUGCCUUGCUUAUAAUUUUUUCAUGAUAUUUUACCUCACAACUUGUUUGAUACAGACUUUUGUUGCAUGGAAUCAGAGCUAUGAAAUUUUCCAUGCUUUCUUCUAUCAUUGAAUCGAAUAUAAAAAUAUUUUGCUUUUAAAAUAAAAAGUUAUUUAGAUCUAAACUUGAUUGGUGGCGUUGCUACAAAUUUUGAUGUAAAUUUUUUCUACUGAACCAAAUCUCAAUGUGUUUAUGUCAAAAAUUUUAACAGUUUACCAUUUUGUUGACAACCGAAUUAGCGACAAGCUCUAAAGACGCUGCUUGUGAGUAAAUUGCGGCCUUAAGAAUAUUAUUCAACUACUAACGUAGUUGAAUGAUAUAUAUAAAUUUAUAGAAAAAUAUGUAUUAAUAUAUGUGUGUGUGUGUGUGUUUAUGUGUGUAUGUGUGUGUGUGUGUGUGUGUGUGUGUACUCGUACAUAUACACGCACUCAUAUCACAGGUUAAUUACGCACUCCGUCACACAGCACACAACACAAUCUAUUAUAGGCAAGUAAACGUAUCCGAUAGACUUUACCGAUCGAUGAUCGAUAUCCCACUGCUCACUGCAUGCUUAUUAUAUUUCACAUUUUAUUUUUGCAUUUUCCUCUAUCAAAUCAAUUUGUUUUCUUAUCGUUCGACGGCAGCAGUUACAUAAGAGCAAGGUGCAUAUUUGUCAUAGCAUUGCAUUUAAUAGGUUUCUUUUUUUUUUUUUGGUUCGUCAUUUAUUUUGUGCGUUUCCUACUCAAUAGCAAACAUAUCUACCUCCACUCAGCAAUGGCUGGAUACACAUUCACACACAGAAACAUACACACACACACACACGCACGCACACACAUGCACACACAAAGACAUACAAACACACACAAACAUUUAUAUUCAUGUAUAUGUGUACAUGUAUGCAUACAUGCAACUAUGAAUAUGCAUAUAUAUGCAUGCAUAGGUACAUAUACAUACAUAAAUAAUAGAUAGAUAGAUAGAUAGAUAGAUAUAGAGAGAGGUAGAUAUACACACUCAUACAUACAUAUAUAUCUAUACAUAUAUAGAUAUAUAUUUGUGUGCGUGUGCAUAUAUAUAUACAUAUAUAUAUAUAUAUAUUUAUAUCUAUGUAUAUAUAUAUAUAUAUAUAUAUAUAUAUAUAUAUAUAUAUAUGUAUAUAUAUAUGUAUAUAUAUAUAUAUAUGGAUAUAUAUAUAUAUGUGUAUAUAUAUAUGUAUAUAUAUAUGUGUGUAUAUAUAUAUAUAUAUAUAUAUAUAUAUAUAUAUAUGCAGGUAGGUAGGUAGAUAGGUAAGUAGGUAGGUAGGUAUAUAUAUACAUACAUACACACAUGCUCACACACACAUACACACAUAUAUGCAUAUGUUUCAUGUUGUUAGCAACAGCUAUACAGGCAGGUGAUGUCGUAUAUUGUAUUUGUCGAACGUAUACUAUCUCCUUGCAUUGAUUCUGUACCACGUGCUGCCAGCCCUGAAAAGUUGUUAUAUCAAAUAACCACUGCAAUUCAAUCAUUUUCGUUGACAUUAAAAUCACUAUUCCUUUUUCUUUUCAUUUGUUGUUGUUGCUUCUUCUCUUGCUGUUGUUGUUAUUUUUGUUGUUGUUUUACUCUGUUCCGUUUCAUUCUUUGGUUCUAUGAAUGUCGCCGUUCGUUUACAAUAUGCAUAUAUAUAUAUAUAUUUCUUUACUGCCCACAAGAGGCUAAACAUAUAGGGGACAAACAAGGACAGACAAAGGGAUUAAGUCGAUUACAUCGACCCCAGUGCGUAACUGGUACUUUAUUUAUCGACCCCGAAAGGAUGAAAGGCAAAGUCGACCUCGGCGGAAUUUGAACUCAGAACGUAACGGCAGACGAAAUACGGCUACGCAUUUCGCCCGGCGUGCUAACGUUUCUGCCAAACGGGUAUUGCCAGUGGUAGGGGUAUUUUGCAAAAUGGUAAUCUUAUUUCAGCUUCCCCUUUAUAUUCUUUCUCGCGUUUAAUUUCUUCGCCGAACGAAUCUUUCUAUUCGAUAAGAUAUCGUUGGUAAUUUCAAUAUCAUUCCCCGACAUCAUCAUCAUCAUCAUCAUCAUCAUCAUCAUCAUCAUCAUCAUCAUCAUCAUCUGCAUCCUCAUUAUCAUCAUCAUCAUCAUCCGCAUCAUCAUCAUCAUCAUCAUCAUCAUCUUCAUCAUCCACAUCAUUAUCAUCAUCAUCAUAAUCAUCAUCAUCAUCCGCAUCAUCAUCAUCAUCAUCCGCAUCAUCAUCAUCAUCAUCCACAUCAUCAUCAUCAUCAUCAUCAUCCGCAUCAUCACCAUCAUCAUCAUCCUCAUCAUCAUCAUCAUCAUCAUCCGCUUCAUCAUCGUCAUCAUCAUAAUCAUCGUGGUCGUUGUCGUCGUCACCAUGACUGUCACUGUCAUCCUCAUCAUCAUCAUUGCCGUAUUCGCCCUCCUCCUCCUCCACACCAACGUUAUAACCACUAGGUAUCAGCAACUGCAGCAUUAUCAUCCGCAUCGUCUCCUUUGUUGUCGUCGUCAGCAUCAUUGUCGACAUCAUUAUCCUUAUUACCAUCAUCAUUAUCAUCAUCAUCCUCAACAUCGUGAUCAUCAUCAUUAUUAAUGACAUAUCGUCGACGUCGCCAUCCUCGUUAUUGUCAGCAUUGACGUCAUCAUCGACCUCAUUGUCGUCUUUAUCAUCAUCGUCAUCAUCAUCAUCAUCAUCAUCAUCGUCGUCGUCGUCGUCCUAGUCAUUGUGUCGUCAUCAUCGUCGCCUCCGUCAUCAUCAUUAUCAUCAUCAUCAUUAUCGUUAUCAUCAUUAUGAUCGUUAUCAUCAUUGUCGUCGACGUCGCUAUUGUCAACGUUGAUGUCAUCAUCGACUUCAUGGUCGUCUUUAUCAUCAUCAUCAUCGUCAUCGUCGUCGUCGUCGACGUCGCUAUAAUCAACGUUGAUGGCGUCAUCAUCGACACAUCGUUGUCAUCAUCAUCAUCAACAUCAUAGUCGACGCCGGCGUCGUCGUCCUCGUCGUCCUUCAAAAAUGUCUGCAACAACACAUCCUCAAAUGAUCUACCUACCACAUCAUCAUUAUCGUUUUGAUUGCUACCCUAGUCUUAAACAUCACUAUAAGUAUACGUAAUUACACAUACACACGUAUUCACUCACACACACACACACGCAUACACUCACACAUAUGCAUUUAUUUACAGAAACGAUAUUCACAUACUCAUUAUCCUCUUCUAUACACUAUAUAUACACACACAGAACCCAAAUGCGCAUAUGCGCAUGCGCCCGCGCAUGCAUUUAUAAAUAUUUAUAUUCUACCUUCUGCUUCGUUUGAUGUGCGGGUUACUGAUAACUGUACAUUUGUUCGUUUUGAUAAAAGAAAUUUAUCUAACAUAUUGCAUAGAUCUCAGUUCUUUAUUUUUGUUUCCACUCUAUUGGCCCUUUCUAUGAACCGGUACCGUAUCUGUGUUUUUUUUUUUGGUGGGGGUUUUCAGCGAGGAAUGGUUGAUAACCCUCUGCUCAACUCAGUUCUAAUCCUGGUGAAAAAAAGGGACAAAGUGGGUCAUCAGCCCUGACGACCAUUCUCAUUACGCAACGAAGUCGAUUACGAAUAAGAAAGAAAGGGACGUGAAAGGGAUGAAGGAGAAUUAUUGAGAACGAGAGAGAGAAGUGAGUGGAGAGUGAGAGACAAAGAGUGGUAGAAUGAGCAAUAUCGAUCUCAGUACUUGAACUGAAUUAUAAACCGAUCCUGGAAUGGUAAAAAUCAAAGUUUACUACAGCGGGAUUGGAAGGUUACUUCAGCGGGAUUACUCAGAGUGCAGAUAACUGAAUCAGAUACUCUAAGACUUAGAGUCUAAGUCAAUCUAUUUGACGCUCUUACAGACUUCUUCCAAUCCAUCGGCUUAUUACCUAGAAGGAAAUUGGAAACUUUUACAGGAAAAUGGCUGACAUUCGAAUUUGAUGUUAGCCAUUUCCCCUCUUCCUAAUUGUUGUCUUGUACAUCAUUGUACAUAUCUGUCCUUCUUCAAAUGAAGAAAUUUUAAUGACUGUACCGCUUAAAGGGUUACAGCAAUGUAGGAUGUAGUCACGUGGGUAAGAAGAGAAUUGUUCCGACAGCUACUGAAUAUGUUACAUCUACUCCAUCUGCCUAGAACAGCCGAGAGAAAUGCAUUCAUAUUUGCAUGAUUAGCCAUACACACAUACACAUUGUCUUACUCACUCUCUCUCCCCUCUUUCUCUUUCUUCCUCUUUCUCUCUCACUCUCUUUCUCUCUCUCUCUCUCUCUCACUCACUCAUACACACACACACACAAAACAAAAGUACACGCACACGCACAUACAACAAUAGGUACACAUAUCUCAGUUCAAAGACACACAUACAUCCACAUCUACAUUAUGUAAGGAGUAGGUUCGAAUAAAUUUAAACAUGGCUGCAUGCUCAUCCAUACACACACACUCUCUUCCUUUCUGUCUCGCACUUCCUCUCUCUCUCUCUCUCUCUCCUUUUCUCUUUCUCCCUCUCUCCCUCUCACACUCACACAACACACACAAACGCAAAAACAAAACACACAAAAGCACAAAGGACUUGAAGCUAUUUCGUGAUGUGGCGGUGCAAAAUCCUUGGAUCAAUGUUUUUACUGUGAAGGACAGAGACUGAUCCAAGGGCAACCGCGAUCCAAGACAACCGAAAACCCUUUCCAGAAGCAUGACACUCCUGGGAAUCUAAUCUGUCUUCAACAAAUUAGAUUUCCGGUUAGUAGCCACCCAUGGUUCUUGUCCGAGUGAGCUCCGCCGGUACUUAAUUUUUGGACUCAAACACAAAACAUCAAACUUUGAAGAUAAGGGGACACACAUACACCAUGGUGGGUAUGAAACAUUUUAGUUCGGCUAUUUUGGGGCCAUUUAUUGGCGUGGAUAAUCCGACGCUGCCUUAUUUGACAUCAGACGCAAUAAACUUUCAUUUUAAUGUUUUUUCUCGUUUUAAUGUUUGAAUUAUUAUUAUAAUUAUUAUUAUUAUUAUUAUUAUUAUUAUUAUUAUUAUUAUUAUUAUUAUUAUUAUUGUUAUUGUUGUUGUUGUUCUUGUUGUUGUUGUUGCUUUUGUUGUUGUUGUUGUUAUUCUCCUUCUCCUUCUUCUUCUUCUCCUUCUCAUUCUUCUUCUUCUCCUUCUUCUUCUUCUUCUUCUUCUCCUCCUCCUUCUUCUUCUCCUUCUCCAAUAAUUACAGGUAUAAAUCUGAACUUGUAAUCUGAACAGAGUAACUGCAGAUUUCUAAAUUCAGCAUAGGAAUUCUCUUUUUCACUGAUCUUCAGCUUUAUGUUAACAUCCGCUGGGCAGAUAAUUUCCACAACUGUGCACAGUUUCUCCUCUCCAUCCCAAAUCAUUAUAGCAGGUCUGUUGUGCUUACAUUUUAUUGAGGUCUUCACUGGGACAUUCCAGCAGUACUCCUUUUUAUUUUGCGUGGCUAUGGCUUCUACCGUACUGUAGGUUCUUAUGUCUCAUCGGUAUAUAAUAUCGUGAUGACAUUUUCGGACAACUGCUUAUGAUGCGGGUGAUAUCUUCGGUGUUAACUCCACAAAGUCUGCAUCGGUUGUCACAUUUUACUGCUUUUCCUGCAUGUCCAUCUCUUUUGUGCAUCAGCUACUUGGUGGAUAUUUCCUAUUCCUGGAUUGCAAACGCAUACACUUCAAAGUGGGAGGUAGUAAUCCGGCUAUUGGUCCAUGAUAGACUGCUUUCAUGAUCAAUGUUACUAUCAUCUCGAAGCUUUCUACUAACAUAUCUUCUGCUCACAUAGGCUCAUCGUUUCAUCUGAGGACACGUUGCAGUAGAGUAGUGCAACUUCUUUGGGCAUGUAAUCUAGGUUAUCAGACAAAGAAUAUUGCUCAAGUAGCUGCCUUCAAAGUAUUAUGCUGUUAUCAGCGUAUUGUGUGCUAACUUGGUCAAGGGAUGCACUUCGAUACUUGUUGGUUAAAAGAUGUUACCGAAGAGAUAAGAUGCGAUAUUCAAAGGGAUUUUGGAUGGAUAUUAAGCUUCUGCCGCCGUGUUUUCGUUUUAGGCAGAGACGGUCUACGUCAUAGUUUAGGUGGAAAUUAUGUGUGCUUGUCAGUAUUUUUCGGAUUUUCACAUCAAUGACUCGGGUCUCAUCUCUAAGUAUGUAUGUAUGUAUGAAUGUACGUAUGCAUUUAUGUAUACAUGCAUGCACGUAUGUAUGUGUGUGUGUGCGCACGUUUACAUAUAUAAUGUGUUGGUAUGUGUUACAGUAUUCCAGAAAGACCGAUCAAGGAAAAAAGGGUGUGGAGUCAAUGUUGGGUUUAAGUACAAGUGCGUGUAUAUGCGUACUUUUACACAUGUGUGUGUAUGUGAGUACGUUUAUACAUGUGUGUGUAUAUGUGUGUAUAUAUGUGUGUGUGCGUGUUGACACUCAUAUAACAGCUGCAACAUAAUCAUAAAGUAGUUUAUGUUUCUCUAAACGACUUUAUGACUGACAUGGUUGUUAAUUUGGGCUUUUGUGUGUUUAUUAUGUACUGCAAUGUGGGCGGACGUGUAAAGGUGUGGGUGCCUACGUGAUUAUAUGUAGGUCUCUAUGUCUGCAGACACCUAAUGUCUGCAGACAAUAUAUACAAACGUAUAUAUAUAUAUAUAUAUAUAUAUAUAUAUAUAUAUAUAUAUAUAUAUAUAUAUAUAUAUAUAGAUAGAUAGAUAGAUAUUUAUAUAUAUAUGUAUAUAUAAAUAUAUAUGCAUACAUUCAUACAUAUGUAUAUAUAUAUAUAUAUAUAUAUAUAUAUAUAUAUAUAUAUAUAUAUAUAUAUAUAUAUAUAUAUAUAUAUAUAUAUAUAUAUAUAUAUAUAUAUGUAUAUGUAUAUAUAUAUAUAUAUAUAUAUAUAUAUAUAUAUAUAUAUAUACUUUUUAUGUACAUAUAUAUAUAUAUAUAUACUUUUUAUGUAUAUAGCAUGGACUCUAUUGAAUGUAUGAAACAAUUAUGAACUAUUCCAUUAUACUCUUUAUUAUAAAAAAAAUUCUUUUUGAUAAGGUUCGUUAUUUCAAAAACCGAAACAUGUAAAAAUUAAAAUUUAUCUAAUAUAGUGGCAUUUUCAAACUUCUUUUUUGCAAAUAUAUACCCACUCGUAUACGACCUAAUCUUAUUAUAUAUAUAUAUAUAUAUAUAUAUAUAUAUAUAUAAACAUAUAUAUAUAUAUGUAUGUAUGUAUAUAUAUAUGUGUGUCUACAUAUAUGUACAUGUAUAUAUAUAUAUAUAUAUAUAUAUAUAUAUACAUAUAUAUAAUUGUAUACAUAUACAUGUAUAUAUGUAUAUAUGUAAUGCCUUAUACAUUUUAUGCAUAAGGCUUUACAUACAUACAAUUCGCUAUGGUUGUAAAUGCUCUUAAUGAAAUGGCAUUGUAUAUGCGUGGGUUAGGCCAACCACCUGCAACAAUAGACGAAACAACCUGAAUGACUUUGAAUAUGAAUGAGAAAUACAAUUAAAUUUGGACAUGUUGACAGGCCGGGUUUGUCAACAAAAUACCCUGAAGUGUUGAUGGGAAAUAGGAAAUACAUAGAUAUAACACCUAGGCUUCUAUAUAUAUAUAUCAAUAAUAAUAGUGAUUGUUUCUUAUCAGGAACAAAAUGUUUAAUAGGACUGUUAUAGAUGUGCUCAAGUAAAUAAGACAAGAAUAACAAAUUUUGGUCGUAGAACAAACAACAAAUUUAAGUCAUCCACCUCAUUAAAUACAUCUCAUUAAAUACGGUGAUGAACCCCUGAAAUGUCCAUAAGGAAAGUAAAUAUGGUUUCUUCUUUUUUGCUUGGACACUGACUUUUUAUAAUAGGUUUUCCCCUUAUCUUAAAAAGUAAUUGUUAAUCGAAAACAUUCCUAAUCGAUGAACUUUUAUCUUGCCUUAUAUAUUAUAUAUUUAUAUGUUUCCUAUAUAUGUGUAUCUUUAUAUUUUUAUAUAUUUAUAUAUUUUUAUAUUUUUUAUAUAUUUAUUAUUCUAGAUGCUAUAAUGUUAAAAACUUUUUUAGUCGCUAAAGUAUUAAUUAUCAAUUUUUAAUCGCAAUAGACUGUACUCACCCAUUCUUCUUAUAUGCUUGUCUAAAUGAACUAUGUUUCAUCUUUUGUGAUUUUAUGCAUCUAUGUUCUAUGUAUAAGAAAAAGCAUUAUGUGAUUAAAUGUUCGAGAUGUGAUAUGUUAGGUGGAUGACCUUAACUUUGUUGUUUGUUCUACAACGAAAGUUUGCAUAUAUAUAUAUAUAUAUAUAUAUAUAUAUAUACAUUACACGAGUACAUAUAUAUGAAGAUAGAUACAUACAUGGAUUAUAUAGACAAGUUGAUAGGUGUACAUUAUUUAUACAUACAUAUAUAUAUAUAUAUAUAUAUAUAUAUAUAUAUAUAUAUAUAUAUAUGGAUUUUUUAAGGAUAUUGAACGAACAAACCAUGUCUCCAAAGGAGAAUUAUCCAAAUCUCUAAGAAUUCCUUUCAACACACGGCUAUGAUGCUCCCCCCACUACUUCUGCUCGUGAUCAGAGAUGCACAUAUCGUCAGCCACUAAGGGACAUGGUCAACUGGUUAAGGUCAAACAAGUGACAAGCAUAUCUGUGGUAUUGAGCAGAAUUUUUGCUGUAGCCUAUCUUUUAUACCAAGACAAACAAUGUAUAUGAUAACAUUUCCAAUUAGUUAAGAUCAGAAGCUAUGAGAGCUACUGUCUGGUACUGCAUCAAGACAUUUAUUAUUAUUAAUAUUAUUAUUAUUAUUAUUAUUAUUAUUAUUAUUAUUAUUAUUAUUAUUAUUAUCAUUAUUAUUAUUGUUGUUGUUGUUGUUGUUGUUGUUGUUGUUGUUUUUGUUGUUGGUGUUAUUAUUACUAUUAUUAUUAUUAUUAUUAUUAUUAUUAUUAUUAUUAUUCAAUAGUCUUAUUUUUAUCACGUGCGUUCACUGCACAACCGAGCGCAGCUCUGUGUGCCUUGGGUAUGUGCUGUGGUUUGUUGUAAUGCUCUUAUUAUUACUGUAUUGAAAGUAUUUUACGUAGGAUGUGUGCAGUGCCUAGUAGUGCUAUUUUUUGUAUGUUAUACAUACUUGUUAGUCCUGGUGUUUUUGUUAUGUAUUUGUCUGAAUAUUUUUCUUAUCAUACCUAAUGCGUCUACUAUGAUAGGAAUUGAUUGUUUUUAGACUACCCAUUCGAGUUACCUCUAUUUCCAGAUCUUUGUAUUUUGAAAGUUUCUCCGUUUCUUUAAAUAAGCAUUGUCAUCUGUUGGUAUUGAUUCAUCG